UAGUAAAAAGGACUUUCCAAUAGAAAUAAAUCCUGAAUCUAUUUGUGCAAUUAAGCGAUGUGAAACAGUACAUAUGAAAAGACCUAAUCCAUUCGAGCCAUUGAUUUGACAUAACUUUGUAAACACUGGGUACAAUGAACUCUGCGUAUUUCUCUUCAAAUAUAAAUAAAAUAACACAAACCAUCAAUGAAAUGGUUCUUAGCCAGUGUCUUUAGUGCAUCUGAGACUAAUUGUGGACUCUAACUUAGUGUACUUGUGUAGAUAACCGCGUUUAAACAGAAGGGCGUAUACUUCAGUGUCUACCGACGUAGGGCGUGUAUUUAAACAGAUAUCUCCCGAAAAAUACUUACAAAGUGAUAAAUUAUUGUUCAGUUGUGAGUCAGUGUGAUGUUGGUAAUUGGCUUAUUCUCCGACGAAAAGUUGAAGGUGAUUCCUUAACGGAAGACGGAGAUGCAGCGUCGAAGCAUGGAGGCGGGCAGCGAGGCUAGCUACUGCGAAAAGGACACCUGGGACGACUGGGGCAGCAGAUCAUCCCUUAGCCAAGUUGAAGAGGUAAAUAUUU